UCCGUAGUAGCACAAUGGAAAUGUAAAACCAGCUGAAAAGUUGAACUAGAUAUCCGGGUUCGACUCGCGGCUACGGAA
rnacentral:tRNA from 1 species